rnacentral:rRNA from 1 species
UUCUGGUUGAUCCUGCCGGAGGCUACCGCUAUUGGAGUUCGAUUAAGCCAUGCGAGUCGAGAGUCUUAGAGACUCGGCGUACCGCUCAGUAACACGUGGGUAACCUGCCCUAUGCUGGGGAAUAACCUCGGGAAACUGAGAAUAAUGCCCCAUAGUCCACAAUGCCUGGAACGGUUUGUGGAUUAAAGCCCCGGCGGCAUAGGAGGGCCUGCGGCGUAUCAGGUUGUAGGGGGUGUAACGUACCCUCUAGCCAUCAACGCGUACGGGUGUUGGGAGACAUAGCCGGAGAUGGAUUCUGAGACACGAAUCCAGACCCUACGGGGUGCAGCAGGCGCGAAAACUUGGCAAUGCGAGAAAUCGUGACCAGGGAACUCCAAGUGGCUGGGGUAAGACCCAGUCUUUUCUUGACUCUUCAAAGGUCUUGGAAUAAGAGGUGGGUAAGGACGGUGCCAGCCGCCGCGGUAAUACCGGCGCCUCAAGUGGUAGUCGAUUUUAUUGGGCCUAAAACGUCCGUAGCCUGUUUGGUACAUUCGUGGGUAAAUCAACCAGCUCAACUGGUUGAAUUCUGCGAGCACGGCCAGACUUGGGACCGGGAGAGGUGUGGGGUACGCUCAGGGUAGGGGUAAAAUCCUGUCAUCCUGAGCGGACCACCUGUUGCGAAGGCGCCACACUAGAACGGAUCCGACGGUCAGGGACGAAGCCUAGGGGCACGAACCGGAUUAGAUACCCGGGUAGUCCUAGGUGUAAACGCUGUGGACUUGGUGUUGGGGAUUCUCCGAGGAUCUUCAGUGCCGAAGCGAAGGUGAUAAGUCCACUGCCUGGGGAGUACGGUCGCAAGGCUGAAACUUAAAGGAAUUGGCGGGGGAGCACCGCAACCUGAGGAUUGUGCGGUUUAAUUGGACUCAACGCCGGGA